rnacentral:rRNA from 1 species
UGAGGAAUUUUCGUCAAUGGGGGCAACCCUGAACGAGCAACGCCGCGUGCAGGAAGAAGGUCUUCGGAUCGUAAACUGCUUUUCUCUGGGACGAGUAAGGACGGUACCAGAGGAAUCAGCCUCGGCUAACUACGUGCCAGCAGCCGCGGUAAUACGUAGGAGGCAAGCGUUGUCCGGAGUUACUGGGCGUAAAGCGCACGCAGGCGGUCUUUUAAGUCUGUAGGGACAGGGCACGGCUCAACUGUGUCAGGCUUACGGAAACUGCAAGACUUGAGGGCUUCAGAGGGAUGGGGAAUUCCGGGUGGAGUGGUGAAAUGCGUAGAGAUCCGGAAGAACACCAAAGGCGAAGGCACCAUCCUGGGGAGUCACUGACGCUCGGGUGCGAAAGCUAGGGGAGCGAACG